UCUUCCCCCUUAGAGUUUGAUCAUGGCUCAAGAUGAACGCUAGCGGCAGGCCUAAUACAUGCAAGGCGAGGGGUUGGCAACAACACCGUCGUACGGGUGCGUAACGCGUAUGCAACCUACCUAUCACAGGGGGAUAGCCUUUGGAAACAGGGAUUAAUACCGCAUAAAGCAGGGGCUUGGCAUCAAGAUACUGCUAAAGAUUUAUCGGUGAUAGAUGGGCAUGCGUCUGAUUAGUUAGAUGGUGAGGUAACGGCUCACCAUGACGAUGAUCAGUAGGGGGCGUCAGAGCGUGCUCCCCCACACUGGCACUGAGAUACGGGCCACACUCCUACGGGAGGCAGCAGUAGGGAAUAUUGGUCAAUGGACGAAAGUCUGAACCACCCAUCCCGCGUGCAGGAUGAAGGUCCUAUGGAUUGUAAACUGCUUUUAACAAAAAAAAAAAGCAUCCUUUUAAGGGUGUCUGACGGUAUCUGCGGAAUAAGCACCGGCUAACUCCGUGCCAGCAGCCGCGGUAAUACGGAGGGUGCAAGCGUUAUCCGGAAUCACUGGGUUUAAAGGGUGCGUAGGCGGAAUAUUAAGUCAGUGGUGAAAGCCUGUCGCUUAACGAUAGAACUGCCAUUGAUACUGAUAUUCUUGAAUUGGGUUGAGGUUAGCGGAAUGUGACAUGUAGCGGUGAAAUGCAUAGAUAUGUCAUGGAAACACCAAUUGCGAACGCAGCUAGCUGGUUCCUUGAUUGACGCUGACGCACGAAAGCGUGGGUAGCGAACAGGAUUAGAUACCCCUAAUAGUCCACGCCCUAACGAUGCGAACUUGGGAUGUUGGGCUCAACUUGGCAGCUCAGUAUCGAGCUACGCGUUAGUCCGCCGCUGGGAGGAGGUACGGUCGCAGACUGAACUCAAUGUAAUGACGCGCCGACAGCGAGAAGAAAUAGGGAUAAUUCGAUGGCACGCGAAAAUAUCCUUACCCUAGU
rnacentral:rRNA from 1 species